rnacentral:rRNA from 1 species
ACGCUCGACACCUACGGGUGGCAGCAGUGGGGAAUAUUGCACAAUGGGGGAAACCCUGAUGCAGCGACGCCGCGUGGAGGAAGAAGGUCUUCGGAUUGUAAACUCCUGUUGUUGGGGAAAAAGAGGAUGGUACCCAACAAGGAAGUGACGGCUAACUACGCGCCAGCAGCCGCGGUAAUCUGAGGCGGGCUGGCGAAGGC